rnacentral:rRNA from 1 species
GAUGAACGCUGGCGGCGUGCCUAAUACAUGCAAGUCGAACGCGCAGCGAAAGGUGCUUGCACCUUUCAAGCGAGUGGCGAACGGGUGAGUAACACGUGGAUAACCUGCCUCAAGGCUGGGGAUAACAUUUGGAAACAGAUGCUAAUACCGAAUAAAACUUAGUAUCGCAUGAUACAAAGUUAAAAGGCGCUACGGCGUCACCUAGAGAUGGAUCCGCGGUGCAUUAGUUAGUUGGUGGGGUAAAGGCUUACCAAGACGAUGAUGCAUAGCCGAGUUGAGGGACGGAUCGGCCACAUUGGGACUGAGACACGGCCCAAACUCCUACGGGAGGCUGCAGUAGGGAAUCUUCCACAAUGGGCGCAAGCCUGAUGGAGCAACGCCGCGUGUGUGAUGAAGGCUUUCGGGUCGUAAAGCACUGUUGUAUGGGAAGAAAUGCUAAAAUAGGGAAUGAUUUUAGUUUGACGGUACCAUACCAGAAAGGGACGGCUAAAUACGUGCCAGCCGCCGCCGUAA